AAAGAAUGAGGCAUAUAAUGUGUGUGUUCUGUUUUGAUGUUGACUGGGGACUGCCUUUUACCCCCACACUCGUGCCAGCAUGGUGUCACAAGUUUCCACUUGCUUGGUCCUUUAAAUAUUAGAUGGAAAACACUAUUCUGAAUUUUGUUCGGGAUCGGCCUUUGGCCCUCUUAUUAUUUAAGUUGGGAAGCUCGGGAUCAAUGUACCUUUCAAGAAGUUGCUGGAUACAGAGUAGGAUGAACAAGUAUUCCUAAAGGAAUGAUCAGCAAUUCAGCAUGAGUAUUUAUGCUGAUUGGCUGUUCUUUCCGUGACAGUGAUGAUCAUUUACGCAAUGUUCUCACAUUUUACGGAUAACUGAUUGAACAAUUUAGGGAAAGAUGUAAAUAUAUCGAAUGCCUGGCCAAUUUUUUGAUGUCAUUAGUCGACUUGCAAGCGAGUUACAGAGAUAGUAGUACUUUUUUUGUUAUGUAAAGCCUCUCGAGCCUUGAUUUUGUUUACGUUGAUAUUGUAUUAGUAAUUGAUUUAUUCUUGUUUUUUUCUGUUUAUUUAAAGUUAUUUACCAGCAUAACGAAACGGUGUAUCUUGUUUGCCACGAAUUUCUUAUAACAAAAAUAUGAGAAAUUUCUUUACAUAAUUUGUUAACAAAAACUUGUUCUGCUUACUUAACAAUAAAAUGUAUGUUUUGUAUCUCGCUUAAAUUGUAACCUGAUUUCUUAAUUAAUAAUUCAUUGUGGCUAUUGUUUCUUGUUACAAAUCUGAUUCGUGAUAUCAAGUUGACAUUUUUUUUAAUUGUAUGAUAAAUUAAUUCCUAGCUUUCUGAUUGGCUGAUAUCCAAUAAUCUAGAAAAUAAAGGUUUUAGCUACUCUCCUUAAAAUACAAUAUAGCACUUCUCGGGUAGAUAAAUCAUUGUUUUGACAUAAACAGAGGAGCAAUAAUUGUUUUGUUAUGCAUGUAUUUAUAACGAAAAUAGCAAAGGAAAAAUGUACGUGGGGGCUAAAUUCUGUUUAACUAUUAAUGAGAUCAUCUGAAUUACCUUCAUUACAAAAAGAACCAAUAACAAAAAUCAAUAAAGGUGAAAAAAACAUGUUGAGCUGCAAAUUUGAGACCAUUCGUGUAAGAGGGAUGACCGGUCAAGGCCAUUUCUAGACAAUAUUAAUCUCCUUUUGAAGGAGAGCUCUGGAAAAAGAUGUAUAAAAAUCAAAUGUCCAAAUAUAUCGAUUUUCUCUUCUCUAAAUAAAAUAAUGUGCUGUAAAUAAGAUUGACAUAUAUUGUUUAUCUACAUGUAAGUUUAUGGGAUCAGCAUGUGGAUAGUUCACUUUUGUAUGAUCGUGAAAACAGUUUGGAGUCUGAUUCCAUAUUUGAUAUACAUGUAGUUAAUUUCCAUUAUUUUCGUCAUUUGCAAUUAUUAAUGACAUAUUUCAUCUCAGCAGGGGUAUUUGAUUCAAUUUUCAACACAGUUAAAACCGUUGUAGUGAGAUUGAGAUUAUCUGAUGGGUACUACGUUAACCACCCUGCCUCCCUAUUGUAUAUAAGUAAAUGGAAAACGUGGACAAGACAACCAAAUAAUGAAAUUAUGGGUCAAUUUUUAAACCUGUUAUAGCAUUUAAAUUCCUUUAUUUUCAAUACAUAGUGGAAAAUAUGAAGUUUAAUUGUAACAUUCCGAUGAAUCCGAGCUUUACGUUUGGUGGUUUGCAUUCAUGUGGUGGCAAGAGCGAUAACUUUGUAAUAUAUUUAAGAUACAGAUACGCUCUUAUUAUUUACCUUUAAUUACCAAAGUCAUUGUUGCUUAUAGUAGGAAAAAAAGUGUUGAUUGCUAACAAUGUUUAUGAAUUUCAGCACAGAGUUUAACAAAAAAUACAUUUACAAAAAGCUAUUGCGAAUUAUUAAAAAAAUGCAUCGUCAGAUUGAAUGUUUAUUGAACGUAAAAUAAUACAUUUCAAAAUAAAUAUAAUUUGAAGACUUUAACAAAACAUACAUAUAUUUUUAAAUAAAAAAAAUAAAUGUGAGCAAUAAAAAGUCAGAAAUACUGAUUGGUACUG